ACAACAGUUACCUCCAACAUCUCUCUCCAACGUUCAUAUCGCGCACGUCAUAUCCUCAUCACGCGCGUGAUGCCAUUAUAUUUAAGAAUCUCCCCAACGUCUCUAUCAUGCUUGUGAUGCCUAUAUUGUGCGCUAGAUGGAGUCCCAUCACGCGCGUGAUAGCCUACAUGAUUAUAUCAGGGUCUGUAGCUUUUUCUUUUCUUUUUUCUUCCCCGUUGCUUUUUCUUUUUUUCUUCUUCUCUU
rnacentral:lncRNA from 1 species